CUUAUAAAUACGUAUAAUCUAAAAGAGCUGUGGAAGUAGUUAAACAUCCUGUAUAUUAACUAUGUAAUAUUAUAUAUUUAUUGACUUCAGUUAAAACUAGCUAUUGGACUUAAACAGAGAUAGAUCUUCAGUUGUAACUAAUGUCAGUCAACGGUAAAAUCACAACAUCAUUAGUAAUACCCAGGACCAAGCAACAAGAAACAAAUAAGGAUAAUUUUGUUACUGCCUAUUCCGUAAUGCCUCGACAAUAUGUGGAGGCUGUUCCAGUGGAGCACUCAGGUAGACAACGUCCACAAUCUCGAUAUUUGUCAUCAGUGUCCAUUCUUUUGGAAAAUCAACACUUAAAUGAUUCAUUUAAAGCUUUCCGUGUCCGAAGAAGUCAUUCUAUGUUAGAAAAUCAAGAACAAAAUAGUUGCAGUUCAGUUGAGGAGUGGCCGAGCGAAACAUGCAAAGCAAAUGCUACCUUGAAUCAUAAAUCGUCAGAAUUAAAAUGCAGCAUUUCUGAAUUAAACAAAGUUUCAACACUUUUAAACAAUAAAUAUCUAACAGAAUCCUUUGAAACGUUUCGUAGCCGACGUAAACACUGGCUGCAGGACACUCGGUUUUGUGACACUGAAAACGGACAUCUACCGAUGCGAUCACAGAGCAGCGUUGUGAACGAAAGAAAUUCCAUGAACAUUUAUCUCCAAAAUCAGUCACUAGAAAAGGCUUUUAAAGUAUUUCGUGUUCGACGAAGGAGCUCAGCAGAGUGGUCACGUCCGGUGGUUGGAAGCAGUGUUGCAGAUUAGAAAUCGCUUGCUUUAAAUGUUACAGAAAACGCCAAAACAACAUUUUAUUGGUGCAAUACAAAAAAAAUAUUUACUAAAUUCAGACUUUAUGCGGACUGUAAAUUUAUCAGCAUAUAUUUUCAUUAGAACUUCACACAAAGCUAAAUCCUAUUUGAAUAACGAAACCUUAAUGGUAUUCUCAGGACAGAUUUCGACAUUAUCAAAACUUAAACCAACUUGCUGUUGGUGAUAGUGGACAGUAUUGUCAAGAAAACUCGUGAGAACCUUAGCAAAUGUUGCCAUUAAUUUAACUCCAAAACAAAGUUCAAUGUUGGUUGAAUAACAACAAAGUCGUAAAUAUCUAUUCAGCACAGAUUCACAAAGAUUAUCAAUACUUACAUCAUGUUGGACAAACUGUGGUGUGAUGAUGGACAUUAUCAUUAAAUAAACCUGUGAGACCUAAAGUAAACAAUAAAGUAUACACAUAUAACCUCUUUCAUUUACGUCGAAAUAAAGUAUUAAAUAGUCUU